AAGGAGAGUCCACAGGCUGGAGUCCUGGACAACCAGCGAAGGAGACCUCUUUUUGGAGAACAUCGCUGAGCAACCAAGGACUGCCAUUUGGCCGGAGACAAGUGCUGGACCACCGCCUAACCCCCCAUCUCUGGCACUGGUGGCCAAAGCGCAAGCGGAAGUUGCCAAGCGCAUGGGGAGCCUGGAGAGAGACUUUGACAGCCUGCAACCAAGCCACUGCACCACAUGAACAUACUUACUACGUUUCCUAUAGGUAGCAGGUUGUAAGAAUACCACAAGAAGAGAUGUUCGAGCACCUGUCAAGGAUGUUCAGGGAAGGAGCCCGGGGAGAUGCCUGGCGUGUGAUUUCUAUGCGCCAGGAGAAAGUGAAGAGCGCCUUUGCAAAACACCAAGCCGCCUAUAAGUAGACACCAUUAAAAUCCUUAUUGCUUUUUGCAAGGUUUGCAAGUUAUCUAACAAAAACUUGAAGGUAUAUAUAUGUAGAUAAGCACCUUCCUUAGAAAGAAUUAUGUAAGCUAUGUGCA